AUGAGUGCUAAGUAUAUACUUAAAGUUCACUCAGUGAUUUGAAUUUCAAAUGAUUCUCGGGCGAGGAGAAAAUUCCUGUGGAAAUUUCUUUUAAAUUAAUCAGUUCAGUUGAGGAUAUCAUUUGUUGAUGGACCCGAAAUCUACGAGUAUCCCUCAGAAACUUCGUUAAUGGUGGAUGAUUCUAUGAAAUCACCAGUUCAACUUGGCCAUACAAUUCCUAAUCUUGGUGGAUCUUCCCUAGCAAACUAUACCCCAAAAAGUGCUGGAGAAUUCCAACCCGGUAUAACGAGAACCGUUCAACUCGCUGUUCCUGUCAAGCCCGAUGUGACUGAAGUAGAAAAUAUUCUCGAAGUAGUGGAAGAAACCAAGCCGUUCAGCUCUGGUACUAACGCAGAUAUACUUUUUUAACACAAUUUUUUACUGAAAGUAUUUGUAUAUUGAAUUCCAUCAGCCACAUUCCAGUAUUGAAAACUAUCACAUCUUUUGGAAACGUUUACAAGUUUGUAUAUUUAUAUCUACAUUGUGUUAGUGUGUGUUAUGUAAGGGUUUAUGUAUGAUUUCUGUUCGUUAUCCAAAAAA